rnacentral:piRNA from 1 species
UCUGACCACUGUCAUGUCCUUAAAAUCUAGU